AACUUUUAGCAACGGAUCUCUUGGCUCUCGCAUCGAUGAAGAACGCAGCGAAAUGCGGUAAGUAAUGUGAAUUGCAGAAUUCAGUGAAUAAUCGAAUCUUUGAACGCACCUUGCGCCCUUUGGCUAUUCCGAAGGGCAUACCUGUUUGAGUAUCAUGAACACCUCAACUCUCAUGGCCUGCCGUGAUGAGCUUGGACUUUGGGGGUCUUGCCGGCCUGACCGUCGGCUCCUCUCAAAUGAAUCAGCUUGCCAGUGUUUGGUGGCAUCACAGGUGUGAUAACUAUCUACGCUUGUGGUUUUCCACCAGGUAACCUUCAGCAAUGGAGGUUCGCUGGAGCUCACAGACGUCUCUCCUCAGGGAGGACAGCUUUUGAACGUUUGAUCUCAAAUCAGGUAGGACUACCCGCUGAACUUAAGCAUAUCAAUAAGCGGAGGCU
rnacentral:misc_RNA from 1 species